GGCAUUUACAAUUGUUAAUUGAUGGCUACAUUGGAUAACUGUAUCAUCUAAUUUUAUGCCAUCCAAAAGUAAUAACGAUCUCAGGAUAUGUCUUUUAUCAUGUCAUUGCUAAGUGAUUUUUCUAUUUGUUUUUCCAUUCAAGUAAUUAUUCUCUUAACUAGAGAAUCUUUUUUUAAAAAAGUAAAAUAAAAUUGGGGACAAUUAUAAGGUAGUAGAAAGUUUUCAAUAAAGAUUGGGUAUGCCUGAGAUUUAGUUUGUAUCUGCUUUAGUGUAUUAGUUUGCUGGGGAUUCCAUAAUAAAGUACUUUAGAUUGGAGAGUUUAAACAAAAGAAAGUUUUCACAAUUCUGGAGGUUAGAAGUUUAAGAUCAAGGUGUUCACAGGGUUAGUUUUUGGAUAGCUGUUUCCUUAAUUUGUAGGUGGGUGUUUUCCCUCCAUGUAUUCACUCUGUCCUAAUUUUAUCUUCUUGUAAAGACAUCAUGAUAUUGGAUGAGGGACUACUCUCAUGAUUUAAUGAUCCUAGUUAGCUAAUUUUAACUUAAUUACCUUUCUAAUAAGCCUACCUCCAAAUAUCAUCAUUCUGAGGUAGUUGGGGGUUAGCACUUCCACAUGUGAAUUUAUGGAGGAUAGGUUCUAUAGCCCUUAACAAUUAGCUUUGGUGAUUUUGUUUUGUUUUAUUGGUGGAUUAUUCUUAUACAAAAUAAUGGGAAGUAUUGAUACAUUCUUAUAUCCACAUAAAAUUAUUGGGUUAAUUUCAUUGCCCGUCAAUUCCCCUUUCCCUUCUCUCCUCUGUUUCCCAGUCCCCAUCUUUUACUAUACUGGUUAGUCUCCCUUCUUUAUUCAUGAACGUCUUUUUUUUUUCCCUUUUUUUUUUUUCUGUUGUCUACAUGUGAGAUAAAACACAUGCCCUUUACCUUCUGAAUCUGGCUUAUUUUACUUGACAUAAUAUUCUCCAGUUCAGUCCAUUUUCCUGAAAAUUAUAUAAUUUUGUGCUUCUUUAUGACUGGGUGUUGCUGUUGAGAUAUUCUACGCCCCCCUUCCCCCGAAAAAUAAAACAUCAUGUGGUAGGCAAUGUUGGAAUGUUCAGAAGUGAGAUGAUUAGAUUAUGAGAGCUGUAACCACAUCACUGGAUUAGUCUAUUUCACAGAUUCAUAAUCUGAAUGCACUACUAGGCUGUGGGGUGUGACUAAAGGAAGUACUCUUGGGAUAUGCCCUUGGACUAUAUUUUGUUCUCUUUUUUUGUUGUUGUUGUUCUGUUUCUUCACUGCCAUGAAAUCAGUAGCCUCUUCUACCAUGCUCUUCCUGCAUGAUGUUCUGUCUCAUCUCAGGUUGAGAGCAAUGGAGUUGGC
rnacentral:lncRNA from 1 species